rnacentral:rRNA from 1 species
UACGUAGGGGGCAAGCGUUGUCCGGAGUUUAUUGGGCGUAAAGCGCUCGCAGGUGGUUCAAUUGCGUCGUGCGUGAAAGACCCCGGCUCAACUGGGGAGGGUCGUGCGAAACGGGUGAACUAGAGGCCAGUAGGGGGAUGCGGAAUUCCGGGUGAGUGGGUGGAAUGCGUAGAGAUCCGGAGGAACACCAGCGGCGAAAGGCGGCAUCCUGGACGUGGUCCUGACACUCAGGA